rnacentral:snoRNA from 1 species
UAGCAUAAUGAUGUUUUACCAUCUUUCGGGGCAUAUCAUUGCUGAUGAUAAUUAUUUAAUGCUGAAUGCUA